rnacentral:rRNA from 1 species
UACGUAGGGUGCGAGCGUUGUCCGGAAUUACUGGGCGUAAAGAGCUCGUAGGUGGUUUGUCGCGUUGUUCGUGAAAACUCACAGCUUAACUGUGGGCGUGCGGGCGAUACGGGCAGACUGGAGUACUGCAGGGGAGACUGGAAUUCUGGUGUAGCGGUGGAAUGCGCAGAUAUCAGGAGGAACACCGGUGGCGAAGGCGGCUCUCUGGACCACAACUGACGCUGGAGGCGACGGAAAGCCUAGGGGAGCAAACAGGA